AAAAUUUAGUAGUCAACCCUAUUCACCCCCCUCUAGUGUUGCCAUUAGAUCCUACAGUAACAAUUUUACUUUUGAGGAAAAUGGACCUUCUACUGAUGAGUUAUUCUAUAAGAAAUUGGUCCCCUACAGUGGUGAGGUAGGGAAAAAUUUUGUCAACGGUAUGAAAUGUGGAGAAGUUGAAAGUUAUCCAUUGACUUUGCCAAACAAUCACAAGCAGUUCUGUUAUGAAGGUAUUGAGAUGGUCGUUCAAUGAUGUGAUACAAGCAUGUGCACGUAGUAGGAACUGUGGUCUUGCAGAGCAGCUAAUGCAAUAGGUUUUAUUUCAUUCCUUUGAGAUCGAUUUUAUUUAAUGAUAUAGCCAAUUGGUACCAGAAAUCUUGAGUUAAGAUAAUAUUUUUCAAAAUGACAUCUCUUAUUACCAAAAACUUUUAUUCUAUAAAUAUUUUUUUUCAUUAAAUAAUGGGUUUCAAAUGCUUUAAAUAGUUGCCACUUUAAGUUAUUCGGAUUUUCAUGUUCUUGAAAUAAUGUGUUAUGUUAUGCAUUAUACCUCGUUCAUAUUUUUAACCUUCAUUUAGUUUAGUGUUUCAUGUGUAUUAACGACACUAGGAACCACGUCUUUGAAGAUGCAUGAACUCGGAGUGCAACCUUCACGCCACACAUUCGAUGGUUUUGUUAGAUCAGUUGUUUCAGAGAGAGGUUUCAGUGAUGACAUGAAAAUAAUUACGAAUAUUCACUGUGGAGAUUGCCCAAAGGGAGUGAUGAGAGGGAAAAAGUUAAGCAUGAAUUUCACCUUAGAUCUGCACGUAGAAUUCAAGAAUUAUGCUUCAAAAAUGGAGGAAUAUAUAUCAAGCUUGGUCAACAUAUUGGUCAGUUGGAGUAUUUGGUGCCCUAAGAAUAUGUCCAGAUAAUGAGAGAAUAUAUGUUGAACAAAUAUCCAGUAUCCCCGUACAACCAAGUGUGUGAAGUGUUCAAGAGAGAGCUUGGCAUGACAUCGGAUAAGAUCUUUUCUGAAUUUAAUCCUGAUCCAAUAGCCAGCGCUUCCCUUGCACAAGUGCAUGUUGCUCAUACCCAUGAUGCGCAAAAAGUUGCUGCAAAGGUGCAGCACACUCAUAUGUCUGAUACUGCAGCUGCAGAUCAUGCUGGUGUUGCAUUAAUUGUGAUCACCCUAUAUCGAUUUUUUCCUUCUGUUGAUUAUAGGUGGUUGGUUGAUGAGGUUAGUGAAAGUUUGCCAAAGGAAAACAGUAAGAAAUUGGGUGCUGGGAAAGAUCUUUAUGCAUUGAUUGCUGGAAUUCUUACUAUGAAACCUUGGAAUCGAGUCAUUGACCCAACAGUUGACCAUUUAGUCAUUCAAGGAACUGACAAUGAACGUUCAGAAUUACAGAUGUAUGCUUCAGAGUAUUUCCCCUAAAUCUCAGAGCUCCUUACGAAAUUACCACGUGUAAUUUUAUAGUGGAGGCUGCUACAUCAUUCUUUACACCUACCACUCUGGAAGAUCAAAAGAUGGCUACACGGUUGACGAAUACAAUGUCCAACUCGCUGAAAGGGAGGCCUGUUUAGGUUGUAUAUUUCAACGCAAAGAGCCACCCUAAUUUAUUGCCCUCUUUCAACCUUUUGUGGGGUGCUCAAGGUGGUAGUCUUAUAAAACUUCUUUCUUAAACCAUCUAUUUUGAUUAGAAUCACGUUGUAGUUUCUUUUACAAGGUUCUGAUGUGGAACUGAGAGGGUCCUUGAGAGACACAGAUAACCAUAAUUUUCUUAAUGAAUUCUGGAGUAGGGUGGCUUGAGCUCUAGUUACAAGAAACUCAUAGCAGAUAAAGCUUUGGCUAAUGAAACUUA